rnacentral:tRNA from 1 species
GCCGAUGUGGCGGAAUUGGUAGACGCACUACCUUGAGGUGGUAGCGGGGAAACCUGUCCGAGUUCGAGUCUCGGCAUCGGCA